AGGCUGGCAUUAAUUCAUAUUUUCUCGUAUAUGAAUGGACCUAGAGUGAUUCCAUAUUUUGUAUGCUGAUAGGAAUCUGUGGAUCUGAUACCAUCGGGCCAUUGGUCUAUAGAGCCAAUUUCAGCAACUACAUUU